CUCCUCGAGUUAUUCCUCCAAAACCUGGCAAGAUGGAGCUCUGGCCAAGGCCUGCGGGAAUCUGGAGUCGCCUCAGACGAGGAAAUGGAAGCUCAGAGAAGAGAAAUGAGUUGGUCCAGCUCACCCAGUGGAACUGGUGGUUCCAGCUGGAAGCAGGGCCUUGGAGGCCCCAGAGUCCGAGCUGCGCCACCCCUGAGACUGAUAAGGAGUCGUCUUCCUGGCAAGCCGUUAGCCAGAAGUGCUCCUGGCAGGGAGCCAGGCCUGGGGCUGGGAAUCCCCACAGCCUGUCUGAAUGGGGGUCGCCCACAGAGGGCUGCCCGAGGCCCCUUCCAGCACCCUGGCCUGUCUCUCCUUGCCAAGUGGACCAGUCUCACCCCUGUCGGAGAGUUUCUGCUAAUCUGGGAGCCAGGCUUGCUGGAGAGACUGAGGAGAGAUUGGCUGAGGGACAGAUUUGCUUGGAGGACACACCUGUGCUUGUCACAGCCUGGGCCCUGGCGCUGACCCUCAGAAGGCGGAGCAGCCUGGAGGAGUGUCUCAUGUGGGGAUAUUAUCUUAUCCAAAGUGCACCCCAGGGACCUACAUUUAUUUCCUGCUGCUAACUCCACAGAGCAAGUCAGCCAUCCGGUGGGGUCAGCACGCCUUUCGCCGGCUCUAAACUGCGUCUUUCUCUCCCUUGGGCCCUGCCGCAGUGUUCUCUGGGACAAACACCUGCCUUUGUUCUAGGCAUUUGGGGCUGGCGUGGGCAGGGCACAGGCCGGAGUGCCACACUUGGGGUCGGUCGGGGAAGGGUUUUCCUUCCAGCAGCCCCAGGGGGAGGCUGGGGAGGCCCCGGAGUCCGCAUUUCACAGGCCAGGAAACUGAGGCCCACGGUCACAGGAGUUCCCACGUGAGCUGAUGGCUGGAAGGAGGCUCCCCAAAGUCUGAGGGCUUGGCCCCGAGCCACCCGAAGACUCCAGCGUGUGAGAGCUGCCAGUCCUGCCUUAUAAGCCCAAAGACUGGGUGGCCGGCUCGGGGACCAGGCCGGGCCUUGUAGGGAGACGGCCUGGCUGCCAAGCACUUGCCCCGGACAGCCUCCCGGUGGGGCUAAAUUUAGCGAUUCUGUGCAGCAUGGAGGCUCGAGGCUGGCUGGGGCCUCAAGGGAGGGGACACAGCUUCCAACAGGGGCUCCUUAGCCACUCAGGGUCCCAAGGAUGCCCAGAUGCUGCCUCAGUCCAACCCUGACACUGUCUGGGCUGAGAUUCCUAUAAUGCCAUGCAGCCUCUGAGACUCUGGCUACAGCAGGGCUCUGGGCCAGCCGGGCAGAGCCUGCCAUGGGGAGGCUGGGGGAGGGCCGGCAGCUGGGGGGAGGCCUGGGGUACAGCGCUGGCCCCAGGUUUGGCUUCUCCCAUUACCUGGACCUGAGCUGCUUCUCAGGCCUCUCCUACCCCGCACUCUGGGCUGUGACCCAGCUGAGGCCCUCCCCACUCCCCCUGUGUGUUUAAAGUGUAUCACCUCCUGGUCCUUCUCCAUCCGGCUCACCCCUCUGCCCCACUUCCCUUCAUCCCCAGCCUCCCUCCACCCUGGAUUAAGAGAACUACCGGGAGGCCAGGGGCGGCGGCUCACGCCUGACAUCUCAGCACUUUGGGAGGCUAAGGCAGGAGGAUUUGAGCCCAGGAGUUUGAGAACAGCCUGGGCAACAUAGUGAAAUCCCAUCUCUACAAAAAAUACAGAAAAAAAGAAAAUUAGCUGAGCAUGGUGGUGUAUGCCUAUAGUCCCAGCAACCUGGGAGGCUGAGAUGGGUAGACCACUUGAGGUCAGGAGUUUGAAACCAGCCUGGCCAAUACGGUGAAACCCUGUCUCUGCUACAAUUACAAAAAUUAGCUGGGCGGGGUGGCAGGCAGCUGUAAUCCCAGCUACUUGGGAGGCUGAGGCAGGAGAAUUGCUUGAGCCUGUGACAGGGAGAUUGUGGUGAGCCGAGAUCGCGCCACUGCACUCCAGCCUGGGGGAUAGAGUGAAACUCUAUCAAAAACAGAAAAAAAUUCUUUGGGCAUGCACCACCAUCGUGGUGCACGCCCAUAGUCCCAGCUACUUGGGAGGCUGAGGUGGGAGGAUCUCGUAAGCCUGGGAGGCUGCAGCAAGCCGUGAUCACGCCACUGCACUCCAGCCUGGGUGACACAGCAACACCCUGUCUCAAAAUUAAUUAAUUAAUUAAAUAAAAAUAAAGAGAACUUCUGGGGGGCUGGGCUAGGCCCUGUCCCUCAAACACUGAGUGCGGAGCCCUUACGAGGGAGACCCCUCUCCCUGUCAGCUCUUGAGGCUACCGGCACCUCUACACCAGUAGGUGACCACAUUCACCUCCUUUCUGGCACUUACAUCUUUAUUUCUUUUUUUUUCUUGUGAGACAGAGUGAGACUCUGUCCAGCCCAGGCUGGAGUGCAGUGGCAUGAUUGUGGCUCACUGCAACCUCCACCUCCCGAUACAAGCGAUUCUCCUGCCUCAGCCUCUGGAGUAGCUGGGAUUGCAGGCGCCCACCACCACACCCAGCUAAUUUUUGUAUUUGUGGUAGAGAUGGGGUUUCAUCAUGUUGGCCAGGCUGGUCUCGAACUCCUGACCUUGAAAUCUGCCUACCUCGGCCUCCCAAAGUGCUGGGAUUACAGGUGUGAGCCACCACACCCAGACUUUUUUUGUGUUUUUAGUAGAGAUGGGGUUUCACCAUGCUGACCAGGCUGGUCUUCAACUCCUGACGUGAAGUGAUCCACCUGCCUCGGCCUUUCAAAGUUCUGGGAUUACAGGAGUGAGCCACUACACCCAGCCUUUUUUUUUUUUUUUAAAUCCAACUGUCUGGAGUGUAAUUCACAUACAAUAAAAUGCACCCAUUUUAGGCAAACGAUUUGAUGAGUUUUGACAAAUGCAUGCACACGCUCCAAAUCCAUCAGCCUAGAAUGCCCCCGCCUUCCCCUUUGUGGUCCAUCUUCUCCAGCCUCCUCCGGAUCAUCAGGCAGGUGGAAUGACACAGGAGGAGCUCUGCUCGGGGUCUGGCCGCCUCUGCUCAUUGCCGCUGAAGGUGUGGACUCCGAGUUGCCGUUGUGUGUGUGUCGAUGGUUUGCUCCUUUCGGUUGUGUGCACGCACCACAGCUCGCUUACCCUUCACCUGUUCAUGGACAUUUGGGGCCUGUGCUGGUAAACUGCUGUGGAAACUUGGGGGCAGGCCUCUGUGUGUGUGUCUGGCUUCCUUCUCCUCCUGCUCUGAUUUCGUGCCUCUGUUUCUCCAAAUAAAGCCCCGUUGUGGUCCUGGAGCAUGGGGUGUGGGGCUGGAAGACUCCUGGUCUCCAGAGGGGCGGGGUCCCCAUGAGCGUGUGGUAGUUGCCAGUUAGAAGUGUGCCGGGGCUUGCCCCGGAAUUCCCUCCUGGGCGAGCAGCUGUGAGGUAAGGAGACCUCUGUUUACCUUGGCCGCCCCGUCCUGGCCUGUGGACUCCAUGCUGUGUGCUGCACAGAGCUGGACUCAGGCCGGCCGGGAUGGGGGUGGAGGCAGCAGGCUGGGAAGCCUGGAGCUGACGGCCUUGUACACAGGACCCCCAGCCUAUCUCAGACCCACACCUUGCCUGGGCACCAUGGUGCAAGCCUGAUGAUCAGAUCAGCAGAGGGCCUUGGGCAAGGCCCACACAUCCUGGGCCUCAGGCUCCUCAUCCGUAAAUGGAGUCCUAGCCCUUGCCUGGCCCAUCUCCCAAGGCUGGCUGAAGACACGGGGAGAUGAAGUGUGUGGAAGGUUCUGUGGUGUGAGGGGUCUUCCAGGCCGACCGUGGCUUCUGCUGUGAACUAGGGGCCAACCCCCGGCCCCCCAAGGAGGAACCGGGGAGCUCCCAGGUAGCAGGGUGAGGGUGGGGACUGCCUCCUUGUCACGGAGACUCUAAAAGCCUCCAUGCUUGGGCUAUUUCCCCUCAUCCCAGCCUCUCUCUGCCCUGGAUUAAGGACUCCUGGUGCCUGGGAUCGGCCCUGCCCCUCAAGCACUGAGCACUCCUCCCCAGGUGCUGAGGAUGCUGACACCACAUCACCCACCUCUUCUGCAGCUGCUACCUCUUUUCCUUCUAAGUCAAACUGUACUGCAGUGUAAUUCACAAACGAUAAAAUGCACCCAUUUUAGACACACGGUUUGGUGAAUUUUAAUGCCUUUUUUUUUUUUUAAGAUGGAGUCUCACUCUGUCGCCCA